UAAGCAUAUCAAUAAGCGGAGGAAAAGAAACCAACAGGGAUUGCCCUAGUAACGGCGAGUGAAGCGGCAACAGCUCAAAUUUGAAAUCUGGCUCUUUUAGAGUCCGAGUUGUAAUUUGCAGAGGGCGCUUUGGCUUUGGCAGCGGUCCAAGUUCCUUGGAACAGGACGUCACAGAGGGUGAGAAUCCCGUACGUGGUCGCUAGCUAUUGCCGUGUAAAGCCCCUUCGACGAGUCGAGUUGUUUGGGAAUGCAGCUCUAAAUGGGAGGUAAAUUUCUUCUAAAGCUAAAUAUUGGCCAGAGACCGAUAGCGCACAAGUAGAGUGAUCGAAAGAUGAAAAGCACUUUGGAAAGAGAGUCAAACAGCACGUGAAAUUGUUGAAAGGGAAGCGCUUGCAGCCAGACUUGCUUGCAGUUGCUCAUCCGGGCUUUUGCCCGGUGCACUCUUCUGCAGGCAGGCCAGCAUCAGUUUGGGCGGUGGGAUAAAGGUCUCUGACACGUUCCUUCCUUCGGGUUGGCCAUAUAGGGGAGACGUCAUACCACCAGCCUGGACUGAGGUCCGCGCAUCUGCUAGGAUGCUGGCGUAAUGGCUGUAAGCGGCCCGUCUUGAAACACGGACCAAGGAGUCUAACAUCUAUGCGAGUGUUUGGGUGUCAAGCCCGAGCGCGUAAUGAAAGUGAACGGAGGUGGGAACCCGCAAGGGUGCACCAUCGACCGAUCCUGAAGUUUACGGAAGGAUUUGAGUAAGAGCAUGGCUGUUGGGACCCGAAAGAUGGUGAACUAUGCUUGAAUAGGGUGAAGCCAGAGGAAACUCUGGUGGAGGCUCGCAGCGGUUCUGACGUGCAAAUCGAUCGUCAAAUUUGGGCAUAGGGGCGAAAGACUAAUCGAACUAUCUAGUAGCUGGUUCCUGC
rnacentral:rRNA from 1 species